rnacentral:rRNA from 1 species
UACGUAGGUGGCAAGCGUUGUUCGGAAUUACUGGGCGUAAAGCGCGUGUAGGCGGCUAAGUAAGUCGGGCGUGAAAUCCCACGGCUCAACCGUGGAAGUGCACUCGAAACUGCAUAGCUAGAGUCCUGGAGAGGAAGGUGGAAUGCUUGGUGUAGAGGUGAAAUUCGUAGAGAUCUGGAGGAACACCGAUGGCGAAGGCAGCCUUCUGGGCCAACACUGACGCUCAUGCACGAAAGCGUGGGGAGCAAACAGG